AACGAACGCUGGCGGCAUGCCUAACACAUGCAAGUCGAACGAGACCUUCGGGUCUAGUGGCGCACGGGUGCGUAACGCGUGGGAACCUGCCCUUAGGUUCGGAAUAACUCCCCGAAAGGGGUGCUAAUACCGGAUAAUGUCUUCGGACCAAAGAUUUAUCGCCUUUGGAUGGGCCCGCGUUGGAUUAGCUAGUUGGUAGGGUAAAAGCCUACCAAGGCGACGAUCCAUAGCUGGUCUGAGAGGAUGAGCAGCCACACUGGGACUGAGACACGGCCCAGACUCCUACGGGAGGCAGCAGUGGGGAAUAUUGGACAAUGGGCGAAAGCCUGAGCCAGCAAUGCCGCGUGAGUGAUGAAGGCCUUAGGGUUGUAAAGCUCUUUUACCCGGGAUGAUAAUGACAGUACCGUGAGAAUAAGCUCCGGCUAACUCCGUG
rnacentral:rRNA from 1 species